rnacentral:rRNA from 1 species
AGUGAACGCUAGCGGGAUGCUUUACACAUGCAAGUCGAACGGCAGCGCAGUCAGCGCUUUGUCGUAGAGGGGGCGACGGGUGGGUAAUGGAGGGAAACAUGGGCAGUAGCUGGUGCGAACUGGGCAAAGGAGGGGCAAUUACCCCAAAACCCCAUACGAGGAACGGGUGGAAGCAGGGGAUCUUCGGACAUUGCGCGAUCGAAUGAGCCGAUGUCGGAUUAGCUAGUUGGCGGGGUAAAGGCCCACCAAGGCGACGAUCCGUAGCUGGUUUGAGAGGAUGAUCAGCCACACUGGGACUGAGACACGGCCCAGACUCCUACGGGAGGCAGCAGUGGGGAAUUUUGGACAAUGGGCGCAACCCUGAUCCAGCCAUCCCGCGUGUGCGAUGAAGGCCUUCGGGUUGUAAAGCCCUUUUGUUAGGAAAGAAACGCCGCAGGCUAAUACCCCGUUGUUCUGACGGUACCUACAGAAUAAGCACCGGCUAACUUCGUG